ACGCGUAAAGCGCCGUAGGCAGGAGCGGGGGACCCAGGUAAGCGCCGGGCCCGGUCGUCUCGUCCCGUACGAGAGUGAUCAGGACCGGCUUGGGGUGAAGUCGCGUGCUAGGACGUGCGACCGGGCAACUCACUUGGCCCGAACCCGACAGCUCACCUCGUAGGCGUCGGUGAGGGGAAGU
rnacentral:sRNA from 2 species